rnacentral:rRNA from 1 species
GACGAACGCUGGCGGCGUGCCUAAUACAUGCAAGUAGAACGCUGAAGGAGGAGCUUGCUCUUCUGGAUGAGUUGCGAACGGGUGAGUAACGCGUAGGUAACCUGCCUGGUAGCGGGGGAUAACUAUUGGAAACGAUAGCUAAUACCGCAUAACAGUAGAUGUUGCAUGACUUUUACUUAAAAGGUGCAAUUGCAUCACUACCAGAUGGACCUGCGUUGUAUUAGCUAGUUGGUGGGGUAACGGCUCACCAAGGCGACGAUACAUAGCCGACCUGAGAGGGUGAUCGGCCACACUGGGACUGAGACACGGCCCAGACUCCUACGGGAGGCAGCAGUAGGGAAUCUUCGGCAAUGGACGGAAGUCUGACCGAGCAACGCCGCGGGAGUGAAGAAGGGUUUCGGAUCGUAAAGCUCUGUUGUAAGAGAAGAACGAGUGUGAGAGUGGAAAGUUCACACUGUGACGGUAUCUUACCAGAAAGGGACGGCUAACUACGUG